GAUCUUCAAUAUCGUCGUGGUGGUGCUUCUCAUACUCCAAAGUCCAGUGCACGUUGCAUCCCUCGCCUUUCGGAGUUGCGUGGAUGGUGAACUUGAAGCUCUUGUAAUGCUCCAAAAGAUCUCCUUCAAUCACUUUGAAAGUGAUCAGAUUAUUUUCAGCAUCUAUGGCUUCAACCAAGUCCUUAGCAACUUUGGCUUUUCCAUCUGUAUACAUGAAAAACUCACAUAAUUAAUAUGAAAUCACAAGCAGCUUAGUUAAGUUGACUAGAACAAUGUAAGUUCAAAUCCAUUUAUAAAUUAGAUAAAUUUAGUAUAAAAUGUUGCUUGUGUAUUUUAGGAUGGUACAUAUAUAUAAAAGAGUACCAAUGAUGGAGCCACCCACAAGACUAAGGUGGGAUAUAGCCCAUGGAGGUUUUCUGUAAGGGUAGUGUCAUUCAUGCACUUAUUUUUACUUCUCACACACUUCUCUCAAUUUUCAGCUAUCAAAUAGAAUGAAUUGAAGAUGACCAAUGGCAAAAAAUUAAUAAAGGUGUGUUGGAAGUAAAAAUAGGUAUGAAUAACACUAUUCUUUUGUAAUCUCAUGCUUAUAGCCCAUUCAAUUUCAAUACAAGUUAUUAUUUAAUGUAUAUUUAGUAAAAGAUAGGUAAUAAAUAAUAAGUUUUAUGCUAAAAAUUAUAAAUUAGUUUUAUCUCCCGUCCCCCUUUAUCCUAUGUGUAAUAGAAAAAAAAACCAUUUACCUUAUGCGAUUUAGCCUAUGUGCUUCUCACUCGAAAAAAAAAUCAUUUUUUUUAAAUCCACAAGUCAAUCCCUAUCUCUGCAAUUCCUUACUUUCCGUUGUGAUUUUCCGAUGGAGUCACCUUUGGUACUUUCUUAAUCUCUUUAUUUACUUAUUCUUGAUUUAAUUAAUAUGUUAAUUAUUUAUAUGGUCCUUGAAUUAAUCGGCUAGGUUAUGAUUUUGAGAAUAAUUUAUAUUCUAUUGUUGUUCUUUUAUAUUGAUUACCAUAUAAUUUUAUAUAAGCAAAAAAUAAACGUAUGAUUUUAUGGCAUUAAUUUCAGUUAGCCAACUCAAGAAAAAAUUCCUUACUCUGCCCUUGAAGAGUAUUAUAGUCGAUAUUAAUUGAAGCAAGGUAGUUAGGGUUUUACCAUAGAAAUAAUUCCAGUAGACCACAGAUCCGACGGUUCCCCAAUCACCUUCAUGUAGGUCACAGGCCUGAAUGAUUCUGUCGCUGGCAUUGGAGAUGUGGUGUGGUUUGUGUGUGAACAUUUCAUGGAACUUGGCAGCGGAAGCCUUGAUUUCAACAACGGUCUCCAGCUUGGACAAGGAUAGUUUACCCUCCCACUUCUCGUGCCCUCCCGUGCCCUCCUAUUUUGUAUGGUCAUGGUUAAGCCACGUCAACAUUUUAUAUUGUUUUUUUUAUAGAGAUAAUAAGACAAAAAUAAAUAGUAAUAUAAAAUAUUAACGUGAUUUAACCGUGACCAUACAAACAGAAAGGCACAGGAGGGCACGAGAAAUGAGAGGGCAAACAAUCCUUGUCCCUUCAGCUUACCACAAUCGCUAGACAUUUUCACCAAAAAAUGGUAUUUUCCAAAUAUUAUAGGAGUGUAGAGUUAUAUAGCCUAUAUAUAGGGUACUUCUUAUUUGAAUAAAACUGAUUGGAACCUUGCACUUAUAUAGGAACAUGCGUUGUCUGCCCUCCCAGUUUUCAUACACUCUCAUCAUCUUCUAUUUUGUACGAUCACGAUUAAACCACGUUAACAUUUUAUAUUGAUUUUUUAUAGAGAUAAUAAGACAAAAAAUAAUAAUGAUAUAAAAUGUUAACGUGGCUUAAUCGUGAUCACACAAAUAAAAAUGAAUGUGAGUGUACGAGAACUGGAAGAACAGAGAAAUCAGGUCCCUUAUAUAGGCGGAGAAGGUGACUGCAUUAUAGCAACGAAUAAAACACAUGCUUAAUAAGUGAGCUGAAAUAAUUGCCUCCACUCAGAUUAUGUUAUUGAUUUAAAUUAUAGAACGUAAUAAAAGGAUUGAUUGGACAUGUCUAAUAUAACAUAUCAUAUAUAAUGUGGGAUAUAUACACGCUCAUUUUUAUUUUUCACACAUCUCUCUCAAUUUUCGAUUUUCAAAUCGAAUGAAUUGAAGAAGAUUAAAUGACAAAAUUAAAAAGAAUAUGUGAGAAGUGAAAAAUGAUGCGUAGAUAGCACAACCCUCAUAUAUAUAUAUAUAUAUAUAAAUAGUUGAAGAUAGAGAUAAGAUAGUGUGAGAAGUGAAAUAUGAUGUGUAGAUAGCACACCCCUCAUAUAUAUAUUUGAAGAUAGAGAUAAGAUAAUAUAAUUUUGCAAAAUGAAUUGUUAUUAGUACUCCAAAAAUCUUAUUCUAUACUCCUCUCAAAUGUAUUUUUCUUUCUAAUGAUAGAAAGUUUAGAGUGCAAAAUGAAAUUUUUGAAAUGCUGAUAAUAAUUCCCUUUAGUAAAUUCAAUAAUUCAAAGAUGGUAACGGACGAGCUAACUCUCCAAAUACAGUUGAAAUUCCUAUAACAGAAUAUAAAUCUUCAAUAUGGCAGUUGUGACCGCAUAAUUUGUAGAAAAGCUUCUACAAGCAACAAGGAGAACUUCCGCAUUUGGAAUAAGAUACUGCUCUACCAAAAAUUUUAACCUCCAAAACAUGAGGUGAACAUACCGUAUUGGCCACAAAGUAAAAUUUUUUGUCCCUGACAGAUACGGGUAAAUGUUCAUCUCAUACGAAAAUACGAGGUUCUGCCAAGGACAUGCUGGUAAUAUCGACCCCAUGUCCAGUUACCUAUCUGAAUCCAAGGGUGAAUGAAACUAGAGCUGUGAUGAUUGUUGUUAAUCUAACCAUAAGUCACUACUCAUUACAAUAUAAAUUACAUUUCACAUGAUAACAUCUAUACUUUUCCAAAAUUAAAAAAAAAAAAAAAAACAACAUACAGAGGAUCCGUGCUAAUUUCGCUAUUAAACUAGGAAAAUGCUAAUCCGACUCGUCCAAUAAGUCAUAGCAUAUCAAAAGGAUAAACUGCUUGCAGAGUCUUUCCAUUAUCCUGCGAUGCCUUGGCUAAUUAAUUAGCAUAUGCUGAUGGUGGUUUGCUCCAUAUAGUUUUUAAAAGAUUUGCUGGAUAACAGUUUAUUUUAAAGAAAAAUAAUGAAAAUAAUUUGAAAACUUUGAAUUUUAACAAUAAAGAAAAAUAAAGAGUAAAGUGAAAAGUAUUAGGAUUUACUUUUUAAUAUAAAAAUAUAAUUUUUCAUUAAAAUAAAUAGUAUCAGAAAAUUUUUGUUAAAGUUCGUUUUAUUUGAUUAGAUUAUCAAUAGAAGACUUGCUUCCUUGUUUUGAUAAACAUAUAAAUAUAAAAAAAAAGGACAUCUGUCACUUUCUUAGACAUCGUCUUACGAAAACACAAUCUUGACAGAAUCACAUGUAUCACAUGAAAGGGGAAAAGGUCUAUGCAUACUUAGCUUCAUCAAAACCAACAAAAUCCUCACCGGAUUCUUUUGUCGAGGAUCCAAGAGAUUUAUGAAUUGUGUCUAUUCUUGUCAAGUAUUAUUUAUGUUUAAUUUUAAAUAAAAAUAUUUAAAAUAAUUAUGACCGCAUAAUGUUGUUUGGACCCAAAUUUACAUCAUCGGCCCGUGUAAUCGAGACCGUAGAGUAAACAUAGUUCUCAGCCGUCGGAUGGAAAAGUGAAAAUAUUUUUGUUAAAAGAUAAUAUUAUGGUUUUUAUCAUGAUUAUCUUUUAAUUUGAAUUAUCUUGACAUAUUCUUAAACGGGAUGGAUAUGAUGCAAAUUAUAUCCUCAAGUAAGAGUGUUUGGGCUCAAAUUAACAUGUUGGGCCGAGUAUAGAACCACUCUCGGCCCGGGAGGCCUGGCGACAGGGGAGCCUUGGAUCAUUUAGUGUGGGCUCCUAAACCUAGGUCGGCUAGGUCAUAUUACAUUUACUAGUCGAGUCCUAACGCGAUAAGGAGUCUCGGCAAGGGUAAUAACCCGGAAGUGAAUCCGGCUCAAUAGAGGACUAGGCUCACAAUCCUAGUAAACAUAGGACUGGUCGAGUGGGUGUUUGAUCCGGAGAAGAAGACCUAGUUCGAGUAGGGUUUUGACUCGACUUCAAAGGUAUCUAGUGCUAUAAAUAGAGGAGGCUGUGCAUCAUUCAAGGGGACCUCCAACACACACAAAACUGCCCUGCGCAAACUUUCUCAACACCUUGAGAUUUUUUAUUUUCUUUUUUUCGCCGACACAUCUUCCGUUGGCAUCAACAGCACUGUGAAGGCAACCGGUGAUAUCUUAAGUCGGCAUAGAUAGCUCUGUCACCGUAGAAUCAGCCGAUCUCGCAGCAUCUUCCGUUGGCAUCAACAGCACUACGGCGAGGACGACUGGUUACCUAUCCAAGUCUCGGUCAAGAAGGAUUUCCGAAUCCUUAUUGGUCGAGGUCAUCUCAUCAGCCUUCUCGGCGAAGUGAGGUGUUACCAGGUUACUGUAUUCGGCACAUUGACAGCCGAAUUUGAGAUUGAACUUCGCAAAUUAGCAGCCUUGUCUUCAGGCUCUAGAACCCAAGAGGCCGAGAAUUGUUCCUUCCUCGGCCGCACGCAAUCGCAAGACACAGAAGUCAGCAGCGCGCUCAACGCAACAUCAUCAAAUUUACUCCUCGGCCGAGCUCGGCCGACGAGUUGGCACGCCCCGCAAUCACCGAAGGACGUAGUUAGCUUAGAAAAUACUCGGCCUGCGCGCCACGUAGGCUUUGUAAUUUCUAGGGUCAACAUUUUGGCACGCCCAGUGGGACCCAGUGUUAAUACUACGAAGUUCAUAUGAUAUAUCAAGAUUCCAAUCUGGCUCAACGUAGCCGAUUGUACGAGCUCCUAGAGGAAUUGAGAAAACACAAUGAGGAAUGUAAAAGAUCUUUGGAAGUGGAAAAAGUUCUUCGUGGCCAUGGAGAGAGAUGCAAAAGUCAUUCGCUUGCAUGUUGAGAAUAAAAGCUCCUGUUACCCCUGCAAAGGCAAUGGGUAAAUGAAGACAGGGCUCGAUUUAAUGCCUGGCUAGAUGAAGAAAAUUUUCCUUACGUUUCUGAUUACAGAUCAAUUCCAUUUGAAAAAUGGUUAGGCUCAAAGGCCGGGGGGCAAUUUUUCGCUCCGGCCGUAAUCAGACAUCGGCCUAAGAAAAUUGUUAAUUUUGGCCGAAGAACAAAGGCCACCUAUUUUUUCGGUCGAGGCUGAAGAUAUGGUCGGCCACGAAGAAAAACCUAGGCCACCUAUUUUUUCGGUCGAGACUGGAAGUGUGGUAGGCCUAGAAGAAAAAGUUAAAGUUUCUGAGCCACAAAUCGACUCAGAAAAUGAUUCGUCAGAGGAGUGCUCCAAUGACGAACGAGGCCGAGAUAUUGGCCUAGCCCAAGAAUCUACGCCAAUUGAUAUGAUUAUUGGCGAUAAAGUCGAUAUGGAGAAAUCCUAUUCGGCUAAGUUGUUUGAAUUAAACGCCGAAAUUAUGCCUGGGGGCAUAAUACUUGUUCCACACAUUCGGCGGCCGAAAAUGCAAAAUAUUUCACCAAGUCAGAAAUAUUGGGAGAUGAUCUUUUAUUCGGUUUAGGAAAAUGUCAAAGUGAAAAUUUUGAUGUAAAAAGAUCUCGGCUUGGAAUAAAGCAUCGUUGGCCUCCUCCUGACUACGUUUCGGCCACUUUUCUUUUUCGUUUGCUAAAAAUAUAAUUAUAUAUAAUAAAAAUUAUUUUCUUAACCAUUCGGCCCUUGACCGAUACUUAAGAAAAUAAGAGGGGCAACAAGUGGUGUGCUCGGCAAAAUUUUGGUCAUUUUGUUUUUAGCCGAGCUCGACAAACAAGCCGACCCGAGAAGAGUUAUUUUCGCUGCUAUCAAUAGUACCAUGCCUAUGGUUAAAGUGUGGGGACAAGUUUCAAAACCAUUUAAAUCAGGAAGAUGCUAGGGUCAAAGUUUGGCCGAAUAAGUCAUGGUUGCUGUUUUGAGGUUAUAUAUAUAUAUAUAUAUAUAUAUAUAUGUAUAUAGUCAUGAUUGCUGACAAUGGGUUUGAUAUGCAUAUAUAUGUAGGCAGGCCGAGCUGCCAAGAAAAGACUCUUCUCGACCUCGGCCAAAUUUAUCCUCGACCCCAAUUCCAAUUCUUCUCGACCCUGGUUCAUAACUGUUUAUCUUCGGCCAUGAGUUUGUUCUUUGGUCGAAAGGAGCCGUGAGUAAACAGCAGCAAGGGAUGACGGUCAAAAGUACAUCUGAUUAGGCUGGAGAUACUUAAAUUUCCUUAAUCAUUCGGCUUACGAGCCGAAGUUCAAGGAAACUGGGGGGCAAUGUUUGGACCCAAAAUUUACAUCAUCGGCCCGUGUAAUCGAGACCGUAGAGUAAACAUAGUUCUCAGCCGUCGGAUGGAAAAGUGAAAAUAUUUUUGUUAAAAGAUAAUAUUAUGGUUUUUAUCAUGAUUAUCUUUUAAUUUGAAUUAUCUUGACAUAUUCUUAAACGGGAUGGAUAUGAUGCAAAUUAUAUCCUCAAGUAAGAGUGUUUGGGCUCAAAUUAACAUGUUGGGCCGAGUAUAGAACCACUCUCGGCCCGGGAGGCCUGGCGACAGGGGAGCCUUGGAUCAUUUAGUGUGGGCUCCUAAACCUAGGUCGGCUAGGUCAUAUUACAUUUACUAGUCGAGUCCUAACGCGAUAAAGGAGUCUCGGCAAGGGUAAUAACCCGGAAGUGAAUCCGGCUCUCAAUAGAGGACUAGGCUCACAAUCCUAGUAAAACAUAGGACUGGUCGAGUGGGUGUUUUGAUCCGGAGAAGAAGACCUAGUUCGAGUAGGGUUUUGACUCGACUUCAAAGGUAUCUAGUGCUAUAAAUAGAGGAGGCUGUGCAUCAUUCAAGGGGACUCUCAACACACACAAAACUGCCCUGCGCAAACUUUCUCAACACCUUGAGAUUUUUUAUUUUCUCUUUUUUUCGCCGACACAUCUUCCGUUGGCAUCAACAGCACUGUGAAGGCAACCGGUGAUAUCUUAAGUCGGCAUAGAUAGCUCUGUCACCGUAGAAUCAGCCGAUCUCGCAGCAUCUUCCGUUGGCAUCAACAGCACUACGGCGAGGACGACUGGUUACCUAUCCAAGUCUCGGUCAAGAAGGAUUUCCGAAUCCUUAUUGGUCGAGGUCAUCUCAUCAGCCUUCUCGGCGAAGUGAGGUGUUACCAGGUUACUGUAUUCGGCACAUUGACAGCCGAAUUUGAGAUUGAACUUCGCAAAUUAGCAGCCUUGUCUUCAGGCUCUAGAACCCAAGAGGCCGAGAAUUGUUCCUUCCUCGGCCGCAAUCGCAAGACACAGAAGUCAGCAGCGCGCUCAACGCAACAUCAUCAAAUUUACUCCUCGGCCGAGCUCGGCCGACGAGUUGGCACGCCCCGCAAUCACCGAAUGACGUAGUUAGCUUAGAAAAUACUCGGCCUGCGCGCCACGUAGGCUUUGUAAUUUCUAGGGUCAACAAAUGUACAAUGAAAUGAUAGGAUUGACAGAUCCCGAAAUCCUCACAAAGAGAAUCCGACGAGGAUCUAGAUUCUCGAAAGGGUUAUAGUACUUUCCCGUGAUAUGGGUAAUGCUAGGGAAACUAAAUUUGCAAACUAAAUUAUGUGUCACUAAUAGAAAUUAGUAUGUUUAUCAACGCUUAAGUAAUAAAUCAAUCAUCAACUUCCAUGUCAUUUAGUUUUUAAAAUUUUUUCUAUAAAUUGAGUCUCUCUAGCAUUUUCCCUGUGAUAUUAUCUCAUAGGGUAAUGUUAAGAAAACUAAGUUUGUAGACAAAAUUUUGGAAACUAAAUGACAUGAAAGUUGAUGAUUGAAUUGUUACUUAAGUGUUAAUAAACGUGUUCAUUCCUAUUGGUGACACAUUAUUUAGUUUGUAAAUUUUAUUUUCCUAGCAUUAUCCUAUCUCAUAUCCAAUGAUCUGAAAACUAGGUGUUUUUCCUCGAUCAAUUCGGGUACUUUUUGCAUCUUCCCAAGCUGAUCUUGAGAUUGUAUUAAAUGUGGACCGCAGUGGCAUUGCGGAUAACAAAGGCAACCCCAUCCAUGGUGACAAGCUGAUUGCUUUGAUUUCUGCUAUUGUAUUGAGGGAACACCCCGGAACCACCAUAGUGACCGAUGCGCGCACAAGUAUGGUGCUUACAUGAUUCAUCACGAAUCGAGGAGGUCACCAUUGCUUGUAACGUCUUGGUUAUCGAAAAGUGAUUGAUAAGGGAGGGCAGCUUAAUAAGGCAGGCAUUGAAACUCAUCUCAUGAUGGAAACAUCUGGACGUGGUGCUCUUAAAGAGAACCGUUUCCUUGAUGAUGGUAAUUAGCAUUGUGGUUUUUGCAUGUUCUGUUUCUGCUUCCUUAAUUUUGUUCUAAUUUAAAUUCCACUGUAGCUUAUUUAUCGUGUUUGGGAUUGAAUAAUUGUUCAUAGGGGCUUACAUGGUGGUAAAGAUCAACAUCGAAAUGGUACGCCUGAAGCUUGCAGGAUGGGACAAAGGGUUGGAAGCAUCAUAAAAGACCUUGAAGAACCAUCAGAGUCCAUAGAGCUAAGGAUGGACGGAGUUUCUGAGCCUAGAUAUGCAAAAGAAAAAGCGGUUGAGGCCAUUGAAAUGUUCCGAGAGUACGUUGAGGUAACUGUUUUGAGCCCAAAUAAUUAUAAGUCCAUGCAAAGUUCAUUUAACUUACUGACAUGCGACAACUCUCCACAUCCUCAAAUUUUUUAUACAGUAUGUACAUUGACUUUUGGGAGGGACGACUUGAAGGGUGGGAGUUAGAUUUGUGUGGCGAUUGUUGGGUCAGCGAUUGGUAGACUCAAAUGUUGCAGCUGCUGCAGUUGAUGCUCACAUGUACAGGUGCUGUACAGAAUAGAGUUGAAUUUGCAAUUGAUCGAGUUAACCAUGGCAACAUUUCUUCAUGUUUUAAUUAAAACUUGUAUGUUUCAGAGCAAAACUAUAGGAUGAAGAACAUGGACAGCAUGGUUGGGUACACAUUAGGCAGAGCAUUCACAAUCCGAACAUUGCACUAAACAUGCAAUCAACUGCACCUGGCUGUUGCCGAACGAUGACAAGAGUUCUUUUAUUACUUAAACGUUGAUAAAUAUGUUCAUUUCUAUUGGUGUCAGGUGACAUAUCAUUUAGUUUGUAAAUUUUGUUUACAAAUUUAGUCUUCCUAGUAUUACCCUUUAGAUAAGUAAUCCCGUUGCUCCAUUUGAUGUUCACCCUGCCAUGUAUGCAAAUUCGUAGAAUGGUGAAAAAUAUAGUUCUUAAAUGAUUGAUUCAACUGAGGGUUCGUUUUCUUUGAAGAUUCCUCAUAGCAAGUGGAAUGGAUAAAAUCCUUGACAUUAGCCAGAUUGAUAAGUACGCCAAUAGUGGAUUGUAGGCUGAGCUUCUAUAAUCUAUGGUGAAGUAGCUAGCUAGGUAUUCAAGUAACCAAGCCCAAUCGUUCCGAUCUCUAUUCCAAUAACGACAUAGCUCUGCAAAUAGUUUGACUACUCUGCCCUAUGCUUCGAGUGUCUGGCGAUUUUGAAAGAGGCAGCAGAAAAAACUGGGAAGUGAAGCAGCCGAGUUAGCUAGCAAGGUUGGAAGCAAAAGGAAGCUGCUAAAUUACACGUUCUUGUCAACUUGUCCGCACCGCAAGCAAGAUCAUCAACGUUGUCGUCAUCACCAACUCAUCUAUUAAUCUCUAGCAGUCAUAUUGUAUUUGUACAUCAAUGUAUAGGCCUUGCAUUUUAAGUGAUUCAUAUCUACUUACUAAACUAUACAUUAAAUUCUUUAUCGCACAUUCAACAUUGAAAUCAACAAUGCAUCACAGACAUUAAUAUACUAUAAAAUUUUAACCAUACAUAAUAUUGUUUGCAAGCCAUUCGCCACAAAGCCUAUUUGGUACAGUCUCAAUAUUAACAUGCUUCUAAGAGAUUAAUAAUAUUAUUUUUAUGUAAGUAUUUGGAAGGGAAGUUUUCAUGCCUUCUUGUCUUUUGCUUGUAUACCUAGGAAUUUGUCAGCAAUGAGGUUUCUCACUUCAUUCUUCUCCUUUAUUUGUUUGGAAAGGUAUUUUUCCUUUAGGGUAGUGCUACAGCAAGAGGUAGAGUUUGCUAACAUAUAUGGGUCUCAUCUUUAUUGGAAAUAUGGUACAAAUAGAUGAUAAGGAUAACAUUUUUUGUUUUCUUAAAUAUAACGAAGAAAGAGACUGAAACAGUAUAAAAAGCGGAUCCAUGUGGAACCUAUGAAUAUAUUCUUUUAUUUUUUUUAUUUUUUUAAAGGAGCAAGCUGGUGGCUUCGCCAUAGUAGUUCACCCUUUCAAAGAUGGGAAGACUCAGAGACAUUUCAGCUUUCCCUGGCCACCUUUCGUGAUUCACUAGCGUAAAAAAUUGAGCUGAAGAUGUGCCUUGUGAAAAACGGACCUAAAAUUUUCCUAAUCACUAGGCCAUCCCGUGGUGGUUCUAUACAACAUAUCACUUAUUUGUACAUUAUUUGUAUUUGUACCAUACUUGACAAAUCCUGAAACUACUGAGUACUGGUCAACGUUAUACCGUCAAAGACCCAAAAGAGUUUCCCUCCAACCAGAAGGCCAAUCACAGCGCGACACGUGUCGACAUCAGAAGCCAAUCAUAGCGCAACAUGUGUCAACAUCAGAAGUCAAUCACUACACGACACGUGUCAAUGUUAGAAUGAAACUAGAAACUCUCUUCUAUAAAUAGAUAUCAUUCUCUCACAAUAUUUUUUAAUGUCAUUUGUACUAAAUCAUUCACUAGUACUCACUAAAGGAGAGCUUGAAUCUAUGUACUUGUGUAAACCCUUCACAAUUAAUGAGAACUCCCCUACUCCGUGGACGUAGCCAAUUUGGGUGAACCACGUAUAUCUUGUGUUUGCUUCCCUGUCUCUAUUCAUUUACAUACUUAUCCACACUAGUGACCGGAGCAAUCUAGCGAAGGUCACAAACUUAACACUUUCUGUUGUACCAAAGUCCUCACUGAUUUUAUGCAUCAACAAUUUGUAUCAUCUCUCUAAUAGAGGUAGGGCUCGUCAACGCAUAUGAGUUCCAUUUCAAUUAGGAGAAUUCUCUCCCCUCCUAAUCUCUCUCUCAUUCCCUUCCCUCCUAUUUGAAUGAUUACGAUUAAAUCACGUCAACAUUUUAUAUUGAUUUUUUAUAGAGACAAAAAGAUAAAAAGUAAAAUAUGAGAUGAGGAGAGGAAAGAGGAGAGAAAUAAAAUGGGAGAAACUCCUACUCCCGUAAGAUUAACAUUUUUGGAAAAAUUAUUGAGACUCCACCUUUGAAGAUAACUUUUAAUUUUUUUAAUACAUAAAAAAGACUACUAUUGCUAAUUUUUAAUUCAGGAAAAAUAUUUGGGAGAUUUAACAAAACACUGCCGGUACUGUUCACUUUUAACGAAAAAUCACAUUUAUACAUUUUCCUAGUACUAUUAACUAUACCUUUAAAAAUAGCUUUUCAUUAAAAAGGAAAUUUUUUUGAACUUUUCGUUAGUUUUCCUGACUCGAGGUAAGUGUCCUCCAUUCCGUUGUCUGGUAGCCCUGACCAAUCUGAGGGCCAAUUUAGAAUUUCCGAUCCAGGCUUGCAUCUAGAAAAUGGGUUUUGAAAUUGUUCGCCCAUCUGACUCGAAAAAAAUUUGUUAGACCGGCUAGGCCUUAAAUUGUUGGGCCGGUCCAUUUUCUUGUAUAUCAGGAAUGUUUUUCUUUUUAGUACAUUGUAAUCAAGAAGUUGAUUUCAUGGUUUGUUAAAAGUUUUGACAUGUUUAUAAUAAAAGGAUGUCUUGUAGAAACACUUGUGAGUAUAAGGCCUCGUUUGGUACGUAGUAUAAAGUACUGGUUAGGACUAAUAAGAUGGAGCAGGUGUUUGGUGUCUGUAUUUAUUAAAUAGUCAUUGGAUUAAAUAAUCUGGCUCUACCAAUUUUAUACAGCUUACACCCGCUUAGUUGUACUAUGCAAAACUACGAUAUUAUUUAGUUGGGUUGCUCAGUCCUCACUCGCCAUCCGCUCUCUCCGUCCCUCGAUCCACCUCACCCACCGCCAAAUCUCGACGACAUGUCCUUAGCGAACCACAAGGCAUCGCUAAAGACCAGCCGAUGCCUCGUUGACGAUCAUAUCACUAAUGAAGUGAUGCCCUGAUUACAAAUCUGAAAAGGAUGGUGAAAGAGAUGAUGAGUAGGCUCUUUGUCUCUACAUCGGCUUCAUUUCAUCCUAAAAAAAAAUGUUUUACAAACGCACCUAUCUUUUUGUGCUUAGAGUUUCUUUCGAUUUGGAAAUAAGAGCAAAAUUGUGAGAAAUUGCAAACCACAGUAUCACCAAUGUGACUGGCCAUGAAAAACAACAUAACUCUAUUUUUUUAAUAUAUACCACAUAGUAUUACGGUCUAAUAAUAUUUCUUUUUGCUUGCAAGCGAGUUUGAUAUCAAUUUAUUUCUCUAUUUUUUAAUGUAAAUAUUGUAUCAAAAACUCUACUUUUCAAUGCACACCAAACCGAGGGGUGGCUAGGAUGUGCUCCAGCCCAUCCCAACCUACAAAAUGUCCUACCUUUAACCUACUCUUAAACAACCAUCCUCCCACUUAAAUGGCUCAUCCCUACCCCAGAUUUGGGGCUGAAUCCGCGCCUCACUAUAUCAAACAAUUGAAAGAAAAGAAAAAGAGGUUGAUCAACUUGUUGACCCUAAAAACUACUAAACCUACGUGGCGCGCAGGCCGAGUAAUUACUAAGCUAAGUACGUAUUUCGGUUGUUUGGGGGCGUGCCAACUCAUCGGCAGAGGAGUAAAAUUUGUUGAUGUUGCGUUGAGUGCGCUGCUGACUUCUGAAUCUUGCGAUUGCGGCCGAGGAAGGAACACUCUCGGCCUUCGGGUUCUAGAACCUGAAGACAAGGCUGCUAGUUCUGCGAAGUUCAAUAUCAAAUUCGACUUUCAAUGUGCCGAAUGUAAUAAUUUGUAACACCCCACUUCGCCGAAAAGGCUAAUGAGAUGACCUCUGCCAAUAAAGAUUCGAAAAUCCUUCUCGACCGAGACUUUGAUAGAUAACCAAUCGGCCUUGUCGCAGUGCUGUUUAUCCAAACUGAAGUUGCUUCACGGUCGGCUGAUUCUACGGCAACAGUGCUGUUUAUCCAAACUGAAGAUGUUCGCCGGUUGCCUUCACAGUGCUGUUUAUCCAAACUAAAGAUGUGUUGGCGAAAAAGAAAAUAAAAAAUCUCAAGAUGUUUGAGAGGUUGUAGAGCGAGGAUUUGCGCAGGGCAGUUUGUGUGUUGAGUUGGAGGUGGUCUCAAUGUUGCAUGCGACUUUGUAUUUAUAGUGGCUGAAUUCUGAUUCGAUGCACUUGGCUAGAAACAAAGGAACCAAAUAAUAUGGAAAUAAUAUCCCACUCGUUAACUCAUCCCCAUAUUGUGAUUUAUCGCCCAGUUGAAUAUCGACUUUAUCGGCUUCACCAAUCAGAGGCUUCGAUUGUCACCGAGUAUAAGUUUCAAGUUAACAAAAGAAGCCCGCCGAUACAACAAGGUGUCGGCCGUUGCAAUCUAUCUAAAUGAUCAACCAUCACCAAUAAUCAAAAGACUGAACAACCAACAAGACUUGGUCGUAUGUGAGAUUCGGCCGAGCUAUAUGACUAAGGACAUUAAAACCUGAGAAUACAUUGCCGAUAUUAACCACCACUAUUGACCACCCUUAUUUGGCAUGGAAAGUAUUUACCACCAAUAUAGAUAUAGCUUCGCUUGGUGAAAUAAACGGCGAAGGCAAGCCUCAGUAGCCACUUGGUGCAGAAAAAAAAAAUCCUGAUGUUACAACACAUGUGGCUUUCCUUGUUGAAUUAAGCAUGUAGCAAAUCAGCAGAUAAUCUUUCUCAAUCAAUAUUUGCUCGUCGAGCACGAAAAAUAACUCAGAGAAAACGAAUCACCAGUAAGCCAUUGCACCAUCAAAUCUUAUCGUCCAUGCUAAGUGGCAUUGGCAUAUAUACAAAUCCCCCACCGAAUGCUAAUCUUUUUAAGUAAGCAUGCCGAGACCUCUUGAUUCUUGGUAGCUUGGCCUGUCAUCCAUUCUCAAUCAUUUGUGGAAAUACUUUCGAAAAAUGUAUGUCUCUGCAUGUGAAACAUGAUCACGGAUGGCUGUCAAUGAAAUUCCCCUGAAGCUAUACGACCGAAUUACGACCGAAGAUAACUUUUGGAGAAGAACUACUAAUCCACGACGUUGAUUGGUGAGCAAACGACGGAAUCCACACCACUAAAUCAACAAAAAUUUUGUUCUACUGAAGCCGAAUACUGGACAUGUUUCUAGAAAAAAAAAAUAUCUCGGCAAUAAUCAAAUCACACCCAAACAGCGCCAUGGUUUUCUUAGCUAAUACAAUAUCAAAUGAAUUCCAUCACUAAAUCUUUGCAUGCCAUGGUCCCGACGACAAGGCCUCGGCCGAGAGACAACAGUUGUCCUGGCCGAGGGCCUCGAAACCAAAUUGAAUCAGUUCACCACCAUUCCAAUUCUUGUUAUACUGAAUAGUCAAAGGCAUGCUAGGCUAACAUAACUCCACCAAAUUAACAGCAGCACCCUGAGACUUAUACUUGGUCUGAUACUUGACUUCAAAUUGAAGAAUCCCUGAAUGCUUUAUUGGAUAAAGCAUUAUUCGUUUUCUUUGAUUCCAGAAACCAAAGGUACCGAGUGAGGAUUAGAUUGCCACAAUCAAUCUGUCUUGGCAGCUCGGCCUGCCUAUAUAUAAGUAUAUAUAUUAAACCCAUUGUCAUCAAUCAUGAUUGUGAUACUACUAAGCCAGCAAUGCAGCAAAUAAUCCUACUUGGCCCUAAUCGUGACAAACCAACUUCGGCCAACAAAACGCCCCACAAUGCUUCUCGCCGAGCUCGCCAAUCUUUUAUUUAGACAAAGAAUUGUAUUCGGCCACUCGACAAAUGAUGCAUGAUUUCUGUCCAACAUCAAAACUCUAUAACUAUAUGUAUAAUAUGUAGUCUCGACAAGACUAAAGUUUUGAUCGUCGAGCAUACAGUCUGCACCCUUAUUUUUUCUAGAUUCCUCAUUUUUAUCUCUUCUGCACCGACUAUCAAAUAUUACCAAGCAGCUUCUAUACUCAUUCUCACUUGUUAUUUGCCGAAUAAACGUGGUGGUCGUUGAUUAGCUUUCCUAAUUUUCUUGGUCGAGAUGUACAGACCGAAAAUAUUGUUGAGCUCGAUGAACACACCACUGCAAUUUCUCUGCCGCGAUUAUUGAACAGGAAGUACCCCCAAAACGCUACAUGCAUGCAUUGAAUGGUCUCGGCAAAAGAUGGCACAUCCUAGUCGUUUACUCUUGAUGCAAGGUACUGAGGUGAUUAUAUAUAUAUAUAUAUAUUUGAUGAACUCAGCUAUCAAACUCCCGAUCCUCUUUGAUCCUUAAAUACCUCAACCGAGUGUGAAUUUGGCUUGGUACUCGACUCCAAAAGAGCUCCCACGACGGGUGGCCUUCUGCACACACCUUCAUCGGCUCGGCUAAUGUAUUUAAAAAACAACUAUCUAAGCCGAGCACCCCAUCUUUUAGGUUGCCGCCCCAAAUGUUGCCCCCUUGAUUUUCUUAUGCAUCGGCUUAAAAGCCCGAAUGGUUAAGAAAAUAAUUUAUUCUUUUUUUUAGCAAAAGAAAAUGAAAACGGUUAAAUCGUAAUCAGGAGGAGGCCAACGAUGCUUUAUUCCAAACCGAGAUCUUUUUACAUCAAAGUUUUCACUUUGAGAUUUUCCAAAGCCGAAUAAAAGAUCAUCUGCAAAUAUGUUCGACUUGACGAAAGAUUUUUUAUCAUCGGCCGCUGAAUGUAUUGAACAAUUAUUAUGCCUAUUAUGCCCCCCUGGCAUAAUAAUUUUGCCAAUUUCGGCUUUUAACUCGAACAACUUAGCCGAACGGGAUUUCUCCAUAUCGGCUUUAUCACCAAUAAUCAUAUCAAUUGGGGUGAUUUUUUCGGCUAUGCCUAUAUCUUCAAUUACCAUAUCAAUCGAUGUGAUUUGAUGGUUUGAAGCCGUGUAUCGGUCUUAUUCGUCAUUGGAACACUCCUCUGACGAAUCAUUUUAUGAGACAAUUUCUAGCUCAGAAACUUGAACAUUUCCUUCUAGGCCUACCACACUUUCAGUCUCGACCGAACAAACAAGUGUGCUAGGUUCUUCUUCGGCCGUCUUCACAAUUUUCCUAGGCCGAAUUUUGAUUGUUGCUGGAGAGGAAAAUAACCCCCAUCUUCUUGACAACUUCUCAAGGAGUUUUGCUUUCUCCUUGUAGCAAUGCUUUACUUGGCGCCAAAUCUCCAAAGAAACCCGGUUGAAAUUUUGAUCUAUCAUGUGAACUUCGUAGUUUUAGCAAUGGGUCCCACCGGGGGUGCCAAAAUGUUGACCCUAAAAACUAGUAAACCUACGUGGUGCGCAGGCCGAAUAAUUAGUAAGCUAACUACGUCAUUCGAUUGUUUGCGGGCGUGCCAACUCGUCGGCCGAGCUUGGCCUAGGAGUAAAAUUUGUUAAUGUUGCGUUAAGUGCGCUGCUGACUUCUAAAUCUCGCGACUGCGGCCGAGGAAGGAACACUUUCGGCCUUCGGGUUCUAGAACCUGAAGACAAGGCUGCUAGUUUUGCGAAAUUCAAUAUCAAAUUCGGCUUUCAAUGUGCCGAAUGUAAUAAUUUGUAACACCACACUUCGCCGAAAAGGCUAAUGAGAUGACCUCUGCCAAUAAAGAUUCGAAAAUCCUUCUCGACCGAGACUUGGAUAGAUAACCAGUCGGCCCUGUUGCAAUGCUGUUUAUCCAAACUGAAGGUGUUUCACGGUUAGCUGAUUCUACGGCAACAGUGCUAUUUAUCCAAACUGAAAAUGUUCGCUGGUUGCCUUCACAGUGCUGUUUAUCCAAACUGAAGAUGUGUUGGCGAAAAAGAAAAUAAAAAAUCUCAAGAUGUUUGAGAGGUUUCGCGUAGAGCGAGGGUUUGCGCAUGACAAUUUAUGUGUUGAGUUGAAGGUGGUCUCAAUGUUGCAUGCGACUCUGUAUUUAUGGUGGCUGAAUUUUGAUUCGAUGCACUUUAAUAGAAUCUGACUAGCAAAAUAAUACUUGAUGCCCUAAUGCUAGCCGAAUCAAUAGACUGACCUUUUUCCAUACGUUCUUAAAAUGCAUGCCUUUAAAACUACCGUUUCAGGUAAUCUUCUUGUGUUCGUAGUAAACUUCCACGUGGAGACCAUAGAAAUCUCCAUUUUUUCAUGCUUGUCUUAUCCAUUUGCAAAUCAAUUGCAGCCAUUACCACAAACUAACCCUGACCCUGAUCACCAUCAAAUCACCUUUAUCCAAUACAUGAUCCUGGUCCUGAUGGAUUGAUUCUUUGUAAAUCGUUGGCCUCUGCUGCACCAUAUUCACCUUUAUCCAAUACAUGCAUUAACUUAAAAUGCAAUCUAAUCCAUUCGUAGUUGCAUUCCCGCGUAAGUCAUACCAAACAUUCCAAACUCAUUCGAACUGUACUUCUAAGUUGGAAAUAUGAUGAUUUGCCUCAUCACUUAUCUUAAAACAACCAGCCGGAUACAGCCAAUAUUAGACUUAGAUAAUCUAAUAUAAAUUAAGAGAUAAUAUUAUGCUUAAAGUCACAAUAUUAGUUCUUAAUAAUAAUUGAAAAUUAUCUCAACCACUUUAUCAUCCAACGGUCUAGAACUUUACUCAUCUAACGGCCUUGAUUGCACAGGCCGAUAGUGUAAAUUUGGAUCCAAACACAACCAUAUAAUUUUUCCAUUAUAGCAUUUAUGAUUGAUGCUGAUGGGUACAUAAAAAAGCCACAAAUUUUGCAGAAGAUAACAUAAUCACAUGAAAUAAGGGACAUACACCAAUAAGUAAAAGUUCGAUGAGGUAGCACAUGAAAUAAAGGACAUACACCAAUAAGUAAAAGUUCGAUAAGGUAACCCUAGCCCACGCACAUCUUAUAUAUAUAAACACACAAACGUGAUUUGAUACGAACGAAACAGUCGUCAUAUCAAAUGUUUUUAUUAAUCACACACAUGCAGAUAGAUCGUGAUUGCAGCACACAGAUUAAUCACAGAUCAUAUACUUAAGCCUUAAGCCUUCUGUGUUUAUUUUGCAUCGGUGCUUGUAAGGUGAGCAUCAAUAUCUUUGGAGAGCUCAACUACAAACUGGAGCAAUGUAUGUGGAUCUUCAAUAUCGUCAUGGUGCUUCUCAUACUCCAUAGUCCAGUGCACGUUGCAUCCCUCGUCUUUCGGAGUUCCGUGGAUGGUGAUCUUGAAGCUCUUGUAAUGCUCCAUAAGAUCUCCUUCAAUCACUUUGAAAGUGAUCAGAUUAUUUUCAGCGUCUAUGGCUUCAAUCAACUCCUUAGCAACUUUGGCUUUUCCAUCUGCAUGCAUGAAAAUCUCACGUAAUUAAUAUGAUAUCACAAACUUGAGCUUAGUUAAUUUGGUUAGAACAAUGUAAGUUCAAAUCCACUCCUCAUAAAUUAGAUAAAUUUAGUAUAAAAAUGUCGCUUGUGUAUUUUAGGGUGGUACAUAUAUAUAAAAGAGUACUAUAGUCGAUAUUAAAUGAAGCAAGGUAGUUAGGAUCUUACCAUGGAAAUAAUUCCAGUAGACCACAGAUCCGACGGUUCCCCAGUCACCUUCAUGUAGGUCACAGCCCUGAAUGUUUCUAUUGCUGGCGUUGGAGAUGUGGUGUGGUUUGUGUGUGAACAUUUCAUGGAACUUGGCAGCAGAAGCCUUGAUUUCAACAUCGGUCUCCAGCUUACCACAAUCGCUAGACAUUUUCACCAAAAAACGGGUAUUUUCCAAAUAUUAUAGGAGGAAGUGUAGAGUUAUUUAGCCUAUAUAUAGAGUACUUAUUUGAAUAAAACUGAUUGGAAUCUUGCACUUAUAUAGACGGAGAAGGUGACCGCAUUAUAGCAACAAAUAAGACACAUGCUUAACAAUUGAGCUGAAAUAAUUGCCUCCACUCAGAUUAUGUUAUUAAUUUAGAAUAUAGUAGGUAAUAAAAGGAUUGAUUGGACAUGUCUAAUAUAACAGAUCAUAUAGAACUUUAACGAAAAACUCAUGAUACUGUUCACUUUAACGAAAAACCACAUUUUUACGCUAAAAAGUCAAUUCUAGUACUAUUCACUUUACCUUUUAUUUUGUCCUUAUCUUUAAAAAUCAAAGUUUUCAAGCUCUUUUCAUUAAUAUAUAUAGAGUAUAUACACAUCCAUUUUCACUUUUCACACACCCUUCUCAAUUUUCGGUCUUCAAAUCGAAUGAAUUGAAAAUGAUCAAAUGACUAAACUUAACAAAAGGUGUGUGAGAAGUGAAAAAUGAGUAUGUGGAUAGCACAUCCCUAUAUAUAUAUAGGGAUGUGCUAUUCACACACUCAUUUUUACUUCCCACACAUCAUUUGUUAGUUUCUAUCCGUUGAUUUUCUUUAAUUCAUCCGAUCCGACGACCAAAAAUUAGAAGAAUGUAUGAGAAGUAAAAAGAGGUGUGUGGAUAUCACACCCCAUAUAUAUAUAUAUAUGUGAAGAUAGAGAUAAAAAUAUAAUUUAGCAAAUUCAAUAAUUCAAAGAUCGAGACGGACGAGCUAACUCUCCAAAUUCCGUUGAAAUUCCUAUAACAAAAUAUAAAUCUUCAAUAUGGCAAUUGUGGCCGCAUAAUUUGUAAAAAGGGUAAAAAAUUGUUUACUACCCUCAUGUUUCGUAGUUUUUAACAUUUAGUACAUCAAGUUUUUUUCGUCGUCAUACCUAAAGUGUAAAUUUUUGGGACAGUCUCAUACAUCCGUUAGUCAAACUGUUAAGUCUCUUGUUAACUGUGACGUGGCGCCCAUGUGGACACUGACUGGGCGCCACGUGUCAUCCACGUGGAAAUUUAAAAUAAAUUAUUUAUAAAAUAAAUAAAUAUAUAUAUAAAAAAUAUAUAUAUAUAUAUAUAUUAAAAAAAUUUAAAAAAAACCUUCAUCUUCCCCAGAUUCGGAGGAAGAAGAAGAAGGAGAAGAAGGAGAAGAAGAAAGAGAAGAAUGGGAAGGAAGAAGGAGGAAGGAAGAAGGAAGAAGGAGAAGAAGGAGGAAGAAAAAAAAAAGUUGCACUCGGAGUAAGAAGAAGGAAGAAGAAGGAGGAAGAAGAAAAAAAAAAAAAAAUCUUUCCCAGAUUCGGAGGAAGGAGAAGGAAGAAGGAGGAAGAAAAAAAAAAAAAUCUUCCCCGGAUUCGGAGGAAGAAGAAGAAGAAGAAGAAGAAGAAGGAAGAAGGAGAAGAAGGAGGAAGGAAGAAGGAGAAGGAGGAAGAAAAAAAAAGUUGCAAUCCGAGAAAGAAGAAGAAAGAAGGAGGAAGAAGAAAAAAAAAAGAAAAAAGAAAAAAAGAAAAAACUGAAUUUGCAACCCAGAUUCGGAGGAAGAAGAAGAAGAAGAAGAAGAGGAGGAAGGAAGAAGGAGGAAGGAGAAGGAAGAAGGAGGAAGAAGAAAAAAAAAUCUUCUUAAGAAGAAGAAGAAGGAAGAAGGAGGAAGAAGAAGAAAGAAGAAAAAAAAAUCUUCCCCAGAUUCGGAGGAAGAAGAAGAAGAAGAAGGAGAAGGAAGAAAAAGGAAGAAGGAGAAGGAGGAAGGAAGAAGGAGAAGGAGGAAUGAAAAAAAAAAAUUGUAGUAAGAAGAAAAAGAAGAAGAAGAAGAAAGAAGAAAAAAAAAACGUGGAUGACACGUGGCGCCCAAUCAGUGUCCACAUGGGCGCCACGUCACAGUUAACAGGAGACUUAACAGUUUGACUAACGGAUGUAUAAGACUGUCCCAAAAUUUACACUUUAGGUAUGACUCUGAGACAAAAAAAACUUGAUGUACUAAAUGUUGAAAACCACGAAACAUGAGGGUAGUAAACAGUUUUUUACCCUUGUAAAAAAUCUUCUACAAGCAACAAGGAGAACUUUUGCAUUUGGAGCAAGAUACUGCUCUACUAAAGAUUUUAACCUCCAACACAUGAGGUGAAUAUACCGUAUUGUUCAUAAAGUAAAAACCUUUGUUCCCUGAGGUACCAUUUGGUACGCAGACGGGACGGGACGGAACAAAUAUUUCGUGUCAUGUUUGGUACUAGCAAGAUGGAACAAAACGGAACGGGGUUAAAUGACUAACUUACCCUUUUUAUUUGACUCUCCCUCUCUCUCCCGUUUCUCUGCUUUCUCUUCUUCCAUCCGUUUCGUGUUCUUCGCAUGCCCAGAUUGAUCCCAGUAAAAAUCAAUCUCAGUAAAACAAAUCCAUACUUUCUCUUCAUUUCAUUUUCUUUCUCUUCAAUUCAAACCCAUAUUUCUCUUUUUUUUUAAUUUCUUUCUCUUCAAACCAGACACAGAAAAAUCCCAAAUUAUUAUUUUAGGGAAAAACUAAUGAAAUCUUGAAAGUUCGUAUUCAAACAACCAUUUUUACUGUAAAACUUACAAAAUUAAACUAAAAAAGGUGAAAUUGAACAAAAUGCCCCGUUCUUAGCCUCCACCGGAUGCUCCUCAUUGAUGUGGCAGCAAAGCCCAACGACAUCAAAAUCCUCGGCGCAGAAAGGGCACAAAAACUCGGCCUUUAACUCAUCGUCUCUGUCAGUCUCUUCGUGCGAAAACAGAUCUGCACGACACCGGGAGAAGAAGGUGGAGCGCGGAGGUGAUGGCGCCAGAGAAGAAGGUUGAGCGCGGAGGUGACGGCGCCGGAGAAGAAGGUAGAGCACGAAGGGAGUGAACCGGAAGCCAUGGUUUGGGUUCAGAUGGAUUUACUGGGAUUGAAUUCAAAGAGAGGGAGGCUACGGGAGAGAGACAGUGGAAUUAAUGAAAAAGAUGAGGGGUAUUGUUGUCCAAAAAAUUAUAAAUUUGUGUUCCACGGGAUGGAACAACCCGUUCCAGGGGGGUAUGUGGAACCAAAAUUUAACCCAUUUUCGUUCCGUGGGACAGGCGUUCCACACAAUUUAAGUGCACCAAACGUGGGAUGGAACGCGUCCGUCUCACUUUGUUCCGUCUCGUCCCACAUACCAAACACACCCUGACAGAUACUGGUACAUGUUCAUCUCAUAUAAUUGAGCAAAUUAAAUAAUUUCAGUGGGGAGACAACAAUCAUGACGGGCGAGCUAAAUCUCCAAAUCGCAUUGAAAUUCAUAUAACAAAAGAUAAAUCUUCAAUAAGGCAGCCUCACCACAUAAUUUGUAGAAAAGCUACUACAAACGAAGAGGAACUUCUGCAUUUGGAGUAAGAUAACGCUCUACUAAAGAUUUUAACCUCCAAUAAAUGAAGUGAACUAUACCGUAUUGUUCACAAUUAAAAAUCUUUGCUCCCUGAUAUGGGUACGUAUAUGUACUCAUAUAUGAAAUUAUUGGGGACUGAAAAUUAAAUACAAGGUCCUGCCAUAGACAGCCUUGUGAUAUUCAACCCAUGUCCAGCGGCCUAUCUGAAUUCAAGGGUGAAUGAAACUAGAGUGGGAGAGUAAUGGCUCUGUCUCCUAUGGCCAAAGUAUUAAACACAAUUCGGUACAUAACAGGCUGUGAUGAUUAAUUGUUGUUGAUCUAACCACAAGUCACUACUCAUUACUGUUGAAGAUAGAAACCAUAUCAGCAGAAGAUUGUCUGUUAGAAAUGCUGUUAGUAGCUGUUAGAGUUUGUAAGAGUUUGUUAAGUCAGUUAACUCCAGCUUAAGACACAAGAAAGCCCAUGAGAGCUAUAUAAAGUUGUAGUAGUAUCCAUGUAAUUCGUUCAGAAGUAAUGCACUCAAAUAGUAUCUCUCUCAUCAAUUCCUUUCUUUUCUGCUUUCUCAUUCAUUUAAUCUUUCUCUGAGUUCUUCAUGUUCAUCUGUUAACAAUUAUAAUACUAAUUACAUUUCACAUAACAACAUCUAUGGAGAGGUUAUGUUCUAAUUUAGGUAUUAAACCAAGGAAAAUGCUAAUCCGACUCGCCAGAUAACAGCAUGUCAAAGAAGAAUAAACCACUUGCAGAGACUAUCCAUUAUCGUGCAUGCCUUAGCUAAUUAAUUAUCAUAUCCUGAUGGUGGUUUGUUCCAUAAUUUUCAAAGAUUUGCUGGAUAAUCCAAUUCCAUUUAAUAUUAAAAUUGUCAUCCAAUACUUGUUUCUUUGUUUAGAUAAGACAAAUUAAAAUUGACGUGCACUACAUACGUUUGCAAUAAUUUAUAGAGUAAUAUGUUAUAGAGAUCAUAUUUUGUAGAUUACAUGAUGUGGUGGUUGAUAAUUAAAUUCCUUAUUUAAAUCACUAAGAAAGAAAUCCAACAAUCAAGUGGUUUAUAAAUGGACAAGGAUUGCCUGCCCUCACACUUCCGGUACCCUCCCUCCUAUUUUGUGUGGUCACGGUUAAGCCACUUCAACAUUUUAUAUUAUUUUUUUUAUAGAGAUAAUAAGACAAAAAUGAAUAGUAAUAUAAAAUGUUGACGUGGUUUAACUGUGACCACACAAACAGGAGGGCACGGAAGGACACCGGAAGUGGGAUGGCAGACAAUCCUUGUCCUUUAUAAAUAUGAUUUUAAAAGGUGGUCUCCGUAGCAUUUUCCUAAUGAAAACACAUGUGUGUUGUGGAUGUAAAUUUCUUCCUCCUUGCUCUUUGACAAAAUUGCACUUACAAAACAAAUAACACCUUAGGUCAAGGUCAGGAGCCUCACGCGCCCACGAUAAAUGUGGGGGGCUUUGACCGAAGAACCUCCGAUGCCAAAGUUAGAAUUUUGAGGGAAAAUUGUUUAGAGAAUUUAAUAAGAGAAUUAGAAUUUGGUUUUGGAGAGAAAGAGGAUGUUUAUAUAGGGGUUUGGCCGACUCCUUUGGAUAGAGAUGGACCGGCCACUUGGAUAGCUUUGUGGGUGAAGUUCAUGAUUUGUGGUUAAUUAGCAAAUUAAUUGGAUAAUAAAUCAAUUAAUUAGCUAAUUAAUAUAAUAAAAAAAGAAUGAUUUGACGGUUACCUUGUGGAGAAGAUUUGAUGAGGAUAGAUGAAAUAGAUUAUAAAUUUUGGGCACUUUUUGACUUAAUUGAGGAAUAAUUGCCCACUACUCAUGCGUAGAAAUCCUGAUGUGCUUUGAAGGUAAUUUUAUCUUUUUACCUAAAAAUUCAUGUGUCGCCUCUUGAUUAUUUUGACUCCACUUGUAUCACUUUCUUAGCUAACUCGGCUGCUUUACUUCCCAGAUUUUUCUGCUGCCUCUUACAAAAUCGCCAGACACUCGAAGCAUAGCGCAGAGUAGUCAAACUAUUUGCAGAUUCCUCAUAGCAAGUGGAAUGGAUAAAAUCCUUGACAUUAUCCAGAUUGGAACCAAAAGGAAGCUGCUAAUUACACGUUCUUGUCAACUUGUCCGCACCGCAAGCAAGAUCUUCAUCGUCGUCGUCAUCACCAACUCAUCUAUUAAUCUCUAGGAGGCAUAGUUUAUUUGUACAUCAAUGUAUAGGCUUUGCAUUUUAAGUGACUCAUAUCUACUUACUAAACUACACGUUAAAUUCUUUAUUGCACAUUCAACUAUUGAAAUCAGCAAUGCAUCACCAACAUUAAUAUAUUAUAAAAUUUUAACCACACAUAAAAUUGUUUGCAAGCCAUUCGCCACAAAGCCUAUUUGGUACAAUCUCAAUAUUAACAUGCUCUAAGAGAUUAAUAAUAUUAUUUUUAUGUAAGUAUUUGGAAGGGAAGUUUUCAUGCCUUCUUGUCUUUUGCUUGUAUGCCUAGGAAUUUGUCAGCGGUGAGGUUUCUUACUUCAUUCCUCUUCUUUAUUUGUUUGGAAAGGUAUUUUUCCUUAAGGGUAGUGUUACAUUAAGAGGUAUAGCCUGCUAACGUAUAUGGGUCUUAUCUCUAUUGAAGAUAUGAUAUAAAUAGAUGGUAAGAAUAAUAUUUUUUGUAUUCUUAAAUAUAUAUGAAAGAAGGAGACUGAAAUAGUAUAAAAAGUGGAUCCAUAUGGAACCUAUGAAUAUAUCCUUUAAAAAAAAAGAGUAAGCUAGUAGCUUUGCCACAGUAGCUCACCCUUUCAGAGAUAGGAAGACUCAAAGGCAUUUCAGCCUCUCCUUGCCACCAUUUGUGAUUCACUAGCGUAAAAAAUUGAACUGAAGACGUGCCUUGUGAAAAACGGACCUAAAAUUUUCCCAAUGACUAGGCCACCCCGUGGUGGUUCUAUAAAAUAUAUUCAUAUAAAAUUAUAAAUUGUAACAUACGUAGCACAAAUGAUUUUGAAUUAAUGCUACACUUAUCACUUAUUUGUACAUUAUUUGUAUCAUCUCUCUAAUAGAGGUAUGGCUCCUCAACGGAUGUGAGUUCUAUUUCUAUUAAGAGAAUUCUCUCACCCACCUAAUCUCUCUCUCAUUUCCUCUCCUCCUAUUUGAACGGUUACGAUUAAGUUACGUCAACAUUUUAUAUUGAUCUUUUUAUAAAGACAAAAGGAUAAAAAGCAAAAUAUGAGAGGAUGUGAGGAAAGAUAAGAGAAGUAAAAGGGAAGAGACUCCUACUCCAAUAAGAUUAGCAUUUUUGGGAAAAUUUUGAGACUCCAUCUUUGAAGAUAAUUUUUUUUUUAAUACAUAAAAAAGACUAUGAUUGCUAAUUUUUAAUUCAGUAAAAAUAUUUUGGAUGACUCGAGGUGAGAGUCCUCCAUUCCAUUGUCUGGUAGCCCAGACCCAUCUGAGGGCCAUUUAGAAUUUCCGAUCCAGGCUUGCAUCUAGAAAGUGGGUUUUGAAUUGUUGGCCUAUCUGACUCGAAAAAAAUUUGUUAGACCGGCUAGGCCUUAAAUUGUUGGGCCGGUCCAUUUUCUUGUAUAUCAGGAAUGUUUUUCUUUUUAGUACAUUGUAAUCAAGAAGUUGAUUUCAUGGUUUGUUAAAAGUUUUGACAAGUUUAUAAAUAAAAGUAUGUCUUGCAGAAAACACUUGUGAGUAUAAGGCCUCGUUUGGUACGCCGUAUAGAGCAUCGGCUAUGACUAAUAAGAUGGAGCAGGUGUUUGGUGUCUGUAUGUAUUAAAUAAUUAUCAGAUUAAAUAAUCUGGCCCUACCAAUUUUAAACAGCUCAUCCGCUUAGUUGUACUCUCCAAAACUACGAUAUUAUUUAGUCGGGUUGCUCAGUCCUCUCUCGCGAUCCGCUCUCUCUGUCCCUCAAUCCACCACACACACCACCAAAUCUCGACACCAUGUCCUUAGUGAACCACAAGGCAUCGCUAAAGACCAGCCGAUGCCUCGUCGACGAUCGUAUCACUGAUGAAGUGAUGCCCUGAUAAUAGAUCUGAAGAGGAUGGUGAAAGAGAUGAUGAGUAGACUCUUUGUCUCUACAUCGGCUUCAUUUCAUCCUCCAAAAAAAGGUUUUAUAAACUUACCUAUGUUUUUGCGUUUAGAGUUUUUUCGAUUUGGAAAUGUGAGUAAAAUUGUGAGAAAUUCCAAACCACAGUAUCACCAAUGUGACUGGCCAUAAAAAACAACAUAACUCUAUUUUUUAGUAUAUACCACAUAGUAUUAUAGUCUAAUAAUAUUUCUAUUUACUUGCAAGCGAGUUUGAGUCAUUUAAUCAGAGAAAAUAGAGUUAGAGAGGAAGAAAGAAAGAAUUGCACUGAUAUUUCCUUGAUUAAUUCAAUGGUUACAAUGGUAUGCUUACUAUAUAGAUGAGUGCUAGGCUAACCACCUUAACCGACUCACUUCCUUACCAACAAUCCUAACUAAUUAUUCUAACAAUCACAUUCCUAACUGCCUUAUAUACUCUAACAUCGCCCCGCAAGCUCAUGGUGGUUCAAGCAUGAGAUUGUUACAAUUGGAGAGUAUAGGAUCUGGUCACUGCUGCACGCAUACCCUGCAAAAAGAAACCUCCUAGCAUCUGGAGCUCGUAUGUUACCAUUAUACCGUGUAUACCAUAGUACCCAAAUCAGCGUAGACUCGGUGCCCCCACCCUUAUCAUAAAUUCGCAUAUGGUAGCCUAACUGAAUAUCAAAUAUACAUCCACCAUUGCAUAACUGAAGUACAUAAAAUCCCCGAAACUCAUGUACAACAAUUUGAGUAGGAACACCAAUUUUCGUCUUGUUGUCAGCAUCAAAAUGAUAUUUCUGCGAACAAAUGGUAUGUGAUCUGCUAAUGUGUGAACUUUCUGCACCAACAGAACUAGGUAGCUGCUCCUCGGUUGCAAAGGAUCUUAAAUGACUCAAACCUAACAGUGCAUAGUGACCUUGUUCUUUACCUUUGCCACCAGAUUUCUUCUUACCUUGGUUGCUGGACAAAUCAAAUGAUGAUACAGAAGGUUGUUCCUUGGUAUUAACCAUCUUCUCAUCUUCAACUGCUGUCUUUUCCUCCACAUACCUUGUUUGGGACAAACUGUGAUAGUUCAUUAAAUCCAACUGUUGUUCUUGUUCUUGGUCCAGUUCUUGUUCUUGUUCUUGGUCCAGUUCUUGUUCUUGUUCUUGUUCCUUGAAGCUUCUUUCUGAGAAGUUUCUGUAAUAAUUAGGUAACACAUGAUUGCCAAUAGAUGGACUCUGAGAAUCACUGUCACCAAAUGCAACCAUGCCUUGGGCUUGGAAAGCAGAUUGUGAAGAAGUUUUUACAUUUAGACCUUCUCUUGCAUCCGUCAGGAAAUUUGUUGCAUUGGAAUUUCCAAGUGGCGAUAACUUGUGAGCUGAUGGAGAAUUCAGUUCACCAUCCUUGUUAUGACCAUAAAUUGACUGAUGUCCUGCCAUAACAGUUAUCUGUUGUGCAUCUAGAUCCCUCCUACUUGGAUCAGCCUCUUCAUUCUUCGUACCUUGCACUUGGUGUAGCCGGGAGUGGUCAUGACGAAAUCCAUGUGAAUGUUUUAAAGCAUGGCCAAGAAAUCCAAGAUUUCGUGCAGAGGGAGCCAGGCCAUUGCUGUCACUAUGAUGUAUUCCACCAAGAUCCCCUGUCUGUGAAGCAUCAAACGUCAUCUAUUCCUCCUGCUUCUCUUGUGCAGAAAUGAAGGCAAAAUCUGGAUUCCAAUCAGCAGAACAAUCCACAAUGGUUUCCUCAGCAAGCAAUUGUACGCGAAAGUCCUUAAGUGAAAUGAUAUUCUCACGCCCUCUGAGUACACAUUUAAAUGUGUUGUAUUUUGGAGGGAGUCCAUUCAGCGCAAAGACCACAAAGUCUUCAUCAGGAAAUGUAACACCAAGAAUAAAAAGUCCAUCCAUUGCUUCUUUAAGCCGUCGAAGAUAUUGGGAAACAGAAUCGGAUCCUUUCUUCAUGUUGUACAUAUCAAUCUUUAACUUGAUGAUACUAGUUCUUGUGACUGGUAAGAAAAAUUCGUCUUGAAGACGAACCCACAUCUCUUGAGAACUCUUGCUACCAAUCACACAAGAAAGUGCAGAUGAAGAAAGGGUUGCAGUAAGUAACAACAUCAAAGCAUGAUCAUGCAUUUUCCACACUUUAAAUUCAUCUAAUUCUGGUCUGGCAGAUGAUUCAGAUGUGAUUACAGAAUGUGUAGAUGUUGCCGCAUCCUGAGGAGGACAAGGAUUCGAUCCAUCAAUGAAUCCCAUAAUGCCAUGACCUUGUAGCAUCAUCUUCAUCAGAAAAUGCCACUGCAAGUAGUUAGUCUCAUCUAAUUUUACACAAGUAGAGGAAGAAACGGACGGAAUCAACGAUACAAUUGGGGAGUGCAAAAGUUGCAAUUGUGUAGCGGUAACCAUAACUUUUGUUGUAGAAAUGAACAACCCAGAUAGAGAUUUAGAAGAGAAACCCCAAAUUUGUUGCUGACAAAUCAAACUGGUUGAUCAGUUUUCUUUGAGAACAAAGAGCAAACACCUUGUGUGCACAACUUUGUUGAAUGUAGAAUGCAGAAAUGGGCAAUCGGAGAUGCCCAGAAAAACAGAGAAGACAUACCCAAUAUUUUCUGGUCAAUAUCUUCUAGUGAUCGGAGAUUGAACGAUCUUUAACUGAGCAGUAGUCACCAUUGUUGAUGUUGUAUAGAAUUCUUUCAUUGAGACAAUCUAUCGAACAAUUGGUAUGCAGAAACGAAGAACAAUUUCUUGAAGAUUCAUGGAGAUCGGAAGAAGCCAAUUGUUUUGUUUAUCACACAACAGAUUGCAAACUAGAGGGUAAAGAAGAGAAAGAAAUGCUUUGAUUGAGGUGCGGAAGCGCCAGGUCUAUUCGAGGCAAUGAUACCAUGUUAAGCAAUAUGCAGAAGGAGAAACAGAGAGAUCACAGAGGAAAAAGAAGAAGGAAUCAAAGAGAAUUUAGAGAGGAAGAAAGAAAGAAUUGCACUGAUAUUUCCUUGAUUAAUUCAAUGGUUACAAUGGUAUGCUUACUAUAUAGAUGAGUGCUAGGCUAACCACCUUAACCGACUCACUUCCUUACCAACAAUCCUAACUAAUUAUUCUAACAAUCACAUUCCAAACUGCCUUAUAUACUCUAACAUUUUUUAGUAUAUACCACAUAGUAUUAUAGUCUAAUAAUAUUUCUAUUUACUUGCAAGCGAGUUUGAUAUCAAUUUAUUCCUCUAUUUUUUAAUGUAAAUAUUGUAUCAAAAACUCUACUUUUUAAUAUAUUUUGCACACCAAACCUAGGGGUGGCUAGGGUGUGCUCCAGCCCAUCCCAACCUACAAAAUGUCCUACCUUUAACCUACUCUUAAACUACCAUCCUCCCACUUAAAUGGCUCAUCCCUACCCCAGAUUUUGGGCUGAAUCCGCGCCUCACUAUAUCAAACAAUUGAAAGAAAAGAAAAAGAGGUUGAUCAACUAUAUAAUUUUUUCAUUUUAGCAUUUAUGAUUGAGGCUGAUGGGUACAUAAAAAGGCCACAAAUUUUGCAGAAGAUAAAAUAAUCACAUGAAAUAAAGGUCAUACACCAAUGAGUAAAUGUUCGAUGAGGUAGCCCUAGCCCACGCACAUCUUAUAUAUAUAAACACACAAACAUGAUUUGAUACGAACGAAACAGUCGUCAUAUCAAAUGUUUUUAUUAAUCACACACACAUGCAGAUAGAUCGUGAUUGCAGCACACAGAUUAAUCACAGAUCAUAUAAUUAAGCCUUAAGCCUUCUGUGUUUAUUUUGCAUCGGUGCUUGUAAGGUGAGCAUCAAUAUCUUUGGAGACCUCAACUGCAAACUGGAGCAAUGUAUGUGGAUCUUCAAUGUCGUCAUGGUGCUUCUCAUACUCCAUAGUCCAGUGCACGUUGCAUCCCUCGCCUUUCGGAGUUGCGUGGAUGGUGAUCUUGAAGCUCUUGUAAUGCUCCAUAAGAUCUCCUUCAAUCACUUUGAAAGUGAUCAGAUUAUUUUCAGCGUCUAUGGCUUCAAUCAACUCCUUAGCAACUUUGGCUUUUCCAUCUGC
rnacentral:lncRNA from 1 species